rnacentral:rRNA from 1 species
AUGGAAAACAUCAAAGGAGGUGAAACCCAAGAGCUUCCAAGAUACAGUGGGAGGAUUGCCUUGAAGGACAGAGAUGACAUUCCUAUACUGGAUAGAGCUAUGACUUUGGCCAGAGCCAAAAAUCUAGCUCUAUCUGAAGGGAGGACGCAAAACUGGAGCUGCAACAGGGCGCAAAGCUGCUGGAGCGAGUCGCGAGUGACAUCUUCCAGGCGCGAAGGAGCUGGGCAUCUUGGGUUCCAAGGAUCGAAGAUUGAUUCAAAAUUAGUGGACUAUAGAGAGUUUUGCUUGCUUAGAUGUUUUGUUCAGGCUGUGUCUGGUCUAGCUGAGUUCCUUGUGGGUGAUGCUCACAUAGGAACCUUUUCUCCUUAA